rnacentral:rRNA from 1 species
UACGUAGGGGGCAAGCGUUGUCCGGAAUCAUUGGGCGUAAAGAGCGCGUAGGCGGCCCAGUAAGUCCGCUCUGAAAGUCAGGGGCUCAACCCCUGAAUGCGGGUGGAUACUGCUGGGCUAGAGUCCGGAAGAGGCGAGUGGAAUUCCUGGUGUAGCGGUGAAAUGCGCAGAUAUCAGGAGGAACACCGAUGGCGGAGGCAGCUCGCUGGGACGGUACUGACGCUGAGGCGCGAAAGCCAGGGGAGCAAACGGG